rnacentral:rRNA from 1 species
UACGUAGGGGGCAAGCGUUGUCCGGAAUCAUUGGGCGUAAAGAGCGUGUAGGCGGUUCGGUAAGUCGGCUGUGAAAGUCCAGGGCUCAACCCUGGGAUGCCGGUCGAUACUGCCGGACUAGAGUUCGGAAGAGGCGAGUGGAAUUCCCGGUGUAGCGGUGAAAUGCGCAGAUAUCGGGAGGAACACCUAUGGCGAAGGCAGCUCGCUGGGACGUUACUGACGCUGAGACGCGAAAGCGUGGGGAGCGAACGGG